rnacentral:rRNA from 2 species
GCGAACUGGUGAGUAACACGUGGGAAACCUGCCCAGAAGCGGGGGAUAACACCUGGAAACAGAUGCUAAUACCGCAUAACAACUUGGACCGCAUGGUCCGAGUUUGAAAGAUGGCUUCGGCUAUCACUUUUGGAUGGUCCCGCGGCGUAUUAGCUAGAUGGUGGGGUAACGGCUCACCAUGGCAAUGAUACGUAGCCGACCUGAGAGGGUAAUCGGCCACAUUGGGACUGAGACACGGCCCAAACUCCUACGGGAGGCAGCAGUAGGGAAUCUUCCACAAUGGACGAAAGUCUGAUGGAGCAACGCCGCGUGAGUGAAGAAGGGUUUCGGCUCGUAAAACUCUGUUGUUAAAGAAGAACAUAUCUGAGAGUAACUGUUCAGGUAUUGACGGUAUUUAACCAGAAAGCCACGGCUAACUACGUGCCAGCAGCCGCGGUAAUACGUAGGUGGCAAGCGUUGUCCGGAUUUAUUGGGCGUAAAGCGAGCGCAGGCGGUUUUUUAAGUCUGAUGUGAAAGCCUUCGGCUCAACCGAAGAAGUGCAUCGGAAACUGGGAACUUGAGUGCAGAAGAGGACAGUGGAACUCCAUGUGUAGCGGUGAAAUGCGUAGAUAUAUGGAAGAACACCAGUGGCGAAAGCGGCUGUCUGGUCUGUAACUGACGCUGAGGCUCGAAAGUAUGGGUAGCAAACAGGAUUAGAUACCCUGGUAGUCCAUACCGU